AUCAUACUCCCUCUGUCCCAAAAUUCUUGUCUUAGAUUUGUCUAGAUAUGAAUGUCUCUAGUCACAUUUUAGUAUUUUGAUAAAUCUAUUUUUAGAAGAACCUAAGACAAGAAUUUUGGGAUGGAUGGAGUAAUAA
rnacentral:pre_miRNA from 1 species